UGGGACGCUGCUCGUGGAGCCCCAGGAUCUUUGCCUUGUGUGUGCUCUCUUCCCCCGAGAGCCCUGACGGGAGCACGUUCCACUGCCUGGUGUUUGCAUCCAGCUCUGAGCAGGAAUGCGAGGAAAUCAUCGGGAGAAUCGCUGCAGGAUUCAAGCACACAGAGUGGUUUGUCUGAGGGAGAAGAGCACCAUGAGGCACCACUGGCCCAGCAGCAGCAGCUGAGGGACGCAGGCCCUGCCUCCCACAGCAAGUUGGGAUGGAUUUCAUCCUCUUCCUCCCCAUGCUGGGUGGGAGAUCACGGAUACUGGAACCUGGCGGGGACUGCUGCUACUCUUGCCCCAGAAGAGCACAAUUUCCACUGCAAUAAAUCAAGCCAGGCCGGCUCAACCACUUCGCUGUGCAGCUUUGUGUGACUGCCCCAGCCUGACUGGCAGAGCCUGUUCUGGCAGGGCUCAGCAGCCUUGCCCUCCAAGCUCAGUGUAAUUACCUCUGAGCACUUUCCUCCACCACAGCCCAGCAGCUGAGGAACCCAGAGCUGCCUUGGCGCAGCUUGAAGUGAAGAGUUGAGUUCAGUCACAUUCCA
rnacentral:lncRNA from 1 species